AGAUCCAUAAGGGACACAAUCAGGGGGCAGACUCAGUGAGCACCAAAGCCCCCACUGAAGCAAGUCUUGCCCCAUAAGGGUGACUCCAGCACAGAAAUUCUCCCACCACAGACACAGCUGAUUCUCACAGCCAAUUGGCCUGGAGGUCAAUUCCUCCCAGUGAUGCCUACAACAGU